rnacentral:rRNA from 1 species
UAGGGAAUAUUGGACAAUGGGUGAGAGCCUGAUCCAGCCAUGCCGCGUGCAGGAAGAAGGCGUUAUGCGUUGUAAACUGCUUUUUGCCAGGGGAUAAAAUGACCGUGCGCGGUUAAUUGAAGGUACCUGGUGAAUAAGCCACGGCUAACUACGUGCCAGCAGCCGCGGUAAUACGUAGGUGGCAAGCGUUGUCCGGAUUUAUUGGGUUUAAAGGGUGCGUAGGUGGUCCUGUAAGUCAGUGGUGAAAUAUCUCAGCUUAACUGAGAGGGUGCCAUUGAUACUGCAGGGCUUGAGUACAGAUGAGGUAGGCGGAAUUGACGGUGUAGCGGUGAAAUGCAUAGAUAUCGUCAAGAACACCGAUAGCGAAGGCAGCUUACCAAGCUGUAACUGACACUGAGGCACGAAAGUGUGGGGAUCAAACAGGAUUAGAUACCCAAGUAGUCCCUGAGCGGGCUGGCAAGGCG